UUCAAAUUCAUUUAUUAUUAACUUGUAAAAUUAUUAAUCACAUGUUGAAAAAAUUUAAAAACUCAAUAUGGAAUUUUCAUUCGGAUUUCAAAUUUUUGAUGAAUAUUUCUGAACGAAAAUGGCAUAAAUGUCUUGUACAACCUAUAAAUAUGACAGAUGACUUUAAAGUUGAUGUACCAGAGGAAAUAUUAGGGUGUGAAUCAUUUGUUGAAGUGAUGAAUUUAGUAAACUCGUUGAAUUUUUUUGCUCCAAAUAAGGAAUUUAAUCUUCUUCUUCCUGAAAGAAGAACUGAAGAAUUGAGUUAUCAGUCACGGAUGCUUUUUUCAUCAGACAAUUCAAUAAAAGAAACUAAUUUAAAUGUUAUAAGAGAUGCAGAUCAACCUGAUGACAUUUCUGCUUGGCAAGAAGUUAGUAUGAGAACGAGAGAGCACUUAAAAAAAUUAGCCGAAAUGGCUGCAGUUCCACUGAAAGUAAAAGAAAAAAAUAUCAUAAAGUUUUCAAUCUUACCAGAGCCACCGAAUCCUAAGAAAGAUGUUGCUAUCGUGAAGGCUUCAGAUAUAGAGAAAUUAACAAGUUUGAAAAAAAUUCUUGAUCCAGCUAUUUUAUCUGAUCAGAAUGAUGAAUUGCCUACUGCUAGAAUUAUUUUACACGAGUUUGAUCCAGAAGAAAAACUAGACUCUACUCAAAAAAUAUCUGAUGAGCCAAAUAAAAUAAUAUUCGACCAAAUGAAAGUUCAAAUAUUAAAUGAUCCUAAUUCAAUUAUUCCUUCAAGGUAUUCCAAAAAAAAAUAGUAAAGUUAAAUAAAGAUAUUAAUAAUUAUUUAAUUAUUGAAAAAAAAGUAAACAAACACAAUUGAUAAUCAUUGAUGGGUAAAAGAAGGAAGAGGAAAUGGCCAAGGGAUGUGACUAGAAGAGGGUAAGAACCGCUAGUGCGUAACAACCACUAGUGAUGUCAAACUAUUUUUCCAGAUGUCUGUAAUCAAUGAAGCUCGUUGUCACUAAUGUAUCAAUUUCAUAAAAAAAAGUAGAAAAAAAAUAAAGCAAAUAUAGAUAAUUAUCUGACAAGUUCGAGGAAAAUGUUAAGAGAAAAAAAUUUAAAACUAACGGAAAUUAAAUUGACAAUCUCCAAAGUAAUUGCAGAAAAUGAACGGGUGAUUUUUUUUAAAUAAAGUAUUCAAGUCUGCGUGUGGCAAAUGGUUUAAAUUCAUUCUGUUUUGGCAAUGAGUUUGCGUGACAAGUUUCGAGACUUAAGUACCAGGUUUUUAGUACGUAUUUCGCUGAACUGUGUUCGUGAGGGAUAAAAUCAGAAGGUAAAUAGUAUUGGUAUUAAAUGAUAGGGACAAGAGUCUCUCAAUGACGAUGGUAGCUACGACGAUUAUACCCGAGAGAGCUCCUUGACUAAUCACCUCGCAAAUUUUGACGAUAGUUUGGUUCCACGUGAAAACAACCAGAUGCGUGUAGAUGUCGAAUGCAUUAGAUCGUCAAGAGGGUUAUUAUUCCAUAGCUGAACCAUCAAGCCAUGGCAUUUCAUCGAUGGGUACCAUCCAAUCAUUUAAAUCAUAGCCAAAUUACAUCGGAAAUGUAUGCAGCAUAGCAUGAGGAACGAUAAUGAUCAAUUUAUUUUUUACCUUUUUUAUAUAGCUUGAUAGAAGCAAUACCAAAUGAGGACUAAUUUUAUAGAAUGCAGUCGGAGGGUUCCGCUACUAAUUUGAUGACAUGGAAAGUAUCAAUCUGACCGGAAUAAAUGAAGUUUAAAAAAAUACCAGCUGCUGUGGUGUUCUAAUUUACGUCGAUACAUUGUACUUGAUUAAAUCGAGGCGUGAGCACUGGGAUAAAGUGUCGGGGCAGGCUUUCCUCUCGGUGCAAUCUGUGAUAUCGACAGAAAAUUGAAGCUCCCGGAAUUGCCUACCUUCUGGGUGAAAAAAAUUCCAAACUAAGUCUCAAUCAAAGGUAGGAUUCCAAGCAGAAAGAAUGGCAAUUCAGUGGCUCUUGAGGCUGAAAAAGGCUUUGGACGAGUGGAUUGGCACUGGUAGCAUCUAGUCUUUAUUUACGACGCAGUACGAUGACUGCUCCGGGAUCGCAUCACCUUGACCCUCUCUCUUCUUUCCUCAGGAUUGCCAAGAGAAGCGAUACCAUCUCUAGAAGUUGGAUCAUUUUGUUCCCUCUUCUCUCCACUGUGUGUGCUAAGUUCUUUUCUUUUAGCUGCCAUAAAAGAUCACCCUGUGGUUCUAUAUUACUCACGCCACCAUGUUUUCACUUGGCCACAGCGAUCGGCACCGAUAUCAUAACUCCUUGUCGUAGUCGCGUUCGAGCAACGAAUCUACCCGAGCUCAUCGUCUAUCUUCCUCUAUUCCUUCUUCUCGUGGCUUUGGACUCAGGCGAUAGUAAUUCUGAUAUACCAGAUGCCAAGGAGCGGAUGCUACUCAAACGCUAGAUGUACGCGGAAAUGAGAUAUGCUCAUGGACAUUUUUAUUAUCUUCGAUCUUGAUAGGUAUCUCAGUGUCUAUUCGUGUCCUAUAUUGUCUUGGAAUGGAAUUUUUUCAACCAAAGGUAUAUCAUCAAAACUGCAUACAAGAAUAGAUGCUUUAUGACUUCCCUUACACGUCAACGUUUACCCUAAGCAGUGUAAAGUAAGAUGAAGAAUGUUUUUAUAACAAGUUUCUCGACACAGCUAACUUAAACUUUGUUAAAUGCUACAACUCUUUAUAAUUAAUAAUGGCAAUUCGUCAACUUGCUUGUGUAUUCAGUUGGUGGAAUAAA